GCAUGCCUAAUACAUGCAAGUCGAACGCACUCUCGUUAGAUUGAAGAAGCUUGCUUCUGAUUGAUAACAUUUGAGUGAGUGGCGGACGGGUGAGUAACACGUGGGUAACCUGCCCUAAAGUGGGGGAUAACAUUUGGAAACAGAUGCUAAUACCGCAUAAAACCUAGCACCGCAUGGUGCAAGGUUGAAAGAUGGUUUCGGCUAUCACUUUAGGAUGGACCCGCGGUGCAUUAGUUAGUUGGUGAGGUAAAGGCUCACCAAGACCGUGAUGCAUAGCCGACCUGAGAGGGUAAUCGGCCACACUGGGACUGAGACACGGCCCAGACUCCUACGGGAGGCAGCAGUAGGGAAUCUUCCACAAUGGACGAAAGUCUGAUGGAGCAACGCCGCGUGAGUGAAGAAGGUUUUCGGAUCGUAAAACUCUGUUGUUGGAGAAGAACGCAUUUGAUAGUAACUGAUCAGGUAGUGACGGUAUCCAACCAGAAAGCCACGGCUAACUACGUGCCAGCAGCCGCGGUAAUACGUAGGUGGCAAGCGUUGUCCGGAUUUAUUGGGCGUAAAGCGAGCGCAGGCGGUUUCUUAAGUCUGAUGUGAAAGCCUUCGGCUCAACCGAAGAAGUGCAUCGGAAACUGGGAAACUUGAGUGCAGAAGAGGACAGUGGAACUCCAUGUGUAGCGGUGAAAUGCGUAGAUAUAUGGAAGAACACCAGUGGCGAAGGCGGCUGUCUGGUCUGUAACUGACGCUGAGGCUCGAAAGCAUGGGUAGCAAACAGGAUUAGAUACCCUGGUAGUCCACG
rnacentral:rRNA from 1 species